AUUUUUGGGUACCUUUAGAAUCCAACCCAGAUUCGUUGUAUUUAUAUUCUACUAAACUUGGACAAUGUAAAUUAAAGUUUGAGGAUAUUUUGGGUUUUGAUAAAGACCUAUUAGAUAUGAUACCUAAACCAGCGCAUGCAAUACUACUAUUAUACCCAUUAAAUGAAAAUUUUAAUAAUGAAAACAAUUCAAGUGAAAAAAUAGUAAAUAAAGGUAUUAGUGACGCUUUUUUU